GAUGAACGCUGGCGGCAUGCCUAAUACAUGCAAGUCGAGCGAACGGACGAGAAGCUUGCUUCUCUGAUGUUAGCGGCGGACGGGUGAGUAACACGUGGAUAACCUACCUAUAAGACUGGGAUAACUUCGGGAAACCGGAGCUAAUACCGGAUGAUAUUUUGAACCGCAUGGUUCAAAAGUGAAAGACGGUCUUGCUGUCACUUAUAGAUGGAUCCGCGCUGCAUUAGCUAGUUGGUAAGGUAACGGCUUACCAAGGCAACGAUGCAUAGUCGACCUGAGAGGGUGAUCGGCCACACUGGAACUGAGACACGGUCCAGACUCCUACGGGAGGCAGCAGUAGGGAAUCUUCCGCAAUGGGCGAAAGCCUGACGGAGCAACGCCGCGUGAGUGAUGAAGGUCUUCGGAUCGUAAAACUCUGUUAUUAGGGAAGAACAUAUGUGUAAGUAACUGUGCACAUCUUGACGGUACCUAAUCAGAAAGCCACGGCUAACUACGUG
rnacentral:rRNA from 1 species